GAUUUCAACUGAAAAAGUCAUCAACAAUAAAGUUGUAUAACUCAUCAAGAUUUAAAACUUCUAUUUUAGUCAUUUCUUCAUCCGGCAAAGUGAUAGUAACAAUUUCACAAAAUUUACAUAUCUCUCUUAUAGUUUAUGAACUAUAUAAGAGAUUUGUACAUUUUGUGAAUAAUGUUACAUAUCACUUUGUCAGAUAAAGAAAUGACCAAAAUAAAAGUUAUAGAUCUUAAUGAGUUAUGCCACUUUGUUAUUGAUGACUUUUUCAAUUGAAAUC
rnacentral:pre_miRNA from 1 species